GAGGGUGUAGUUCAGUGGCACAGUAUGUGCUUACCAUGCAUGAAGCUCUAGGUGCAAUCCCUACCACCAUCA
rfam:Ictidomys tridecemlineatus contig100622, whole genome shotgun sequence.